GCGAGAAAGAGAGAAAGCGCCUUUUGUGAUAUUAGACGCUGAGACAGAAAAAGCUGUCGAGUUGCCAGGAUUAAUGGACAUUAGCACAUGAAGUCAUGAAGAGAACAGGAAGCGCCGCAGGAAAUGCCUCAGAGGAUCAUGGUCGUCAGUCCAGCACACCUCCGGACUUCAACACAUGCACUCUGGCUGUCAAGACCCUCUCAGCAGCAGGAGGGAGAGCGGCAGGUCUCCGAUCAGGAUCACCACCGUUUGGCCUGAUUUCUUCUGGCACGGUCCACUGAUCGAGUCACAUGGCGGGAGGCAGUUUUAUGGCUCCUAUUUAUGGCAAACCGUCCCGCUGCAACAACCGACA